UGGGGAAUAUUGGACAAUGGGCGCAAGCCUGAUCCAGCCAUGCCGCGUGAGUGAUGAAGGCCCUAGGGUUGUAAAGCUCUUUCGCCAGGGACGAUAAUGACGGUACCUGGAUAAGAAGCCCCGGCUAACUUCGUGCCAGCAGCCGCGGUAAUACGAAGGGGGCUAGCGUUGUUCGGAAUCACUGGGCGUAAAGCGCACGUAGGCGGAUCUUUAAGUCAGGGGUGAAAUCCCGAGGCUCAACCUCGGAACUGCCUUUGAUACUGGAGGUCUCGAGUUCGGGAGAGGUGAGUGGAACUCGAGUGUAGAGGUGAAAUUCGUAGAUAUUCGCAAGAACACCAGUGGCGAAGGCGGCUCACUGGCCCGAUACUGACGCUGAGGUGCGAAAGCGUGGGGAGCAAAACAGGAUUAGAUACCCUGGUAGUCCACGCCGUAAACGAUGGAUGCUAGCCGUUGGGGAGCUUGCUCUUCAGUGGCGCAGCUAACGCUUUAAGCAUCCCGCCUGGGGAGUACGGUCGCAAGAUUAAAACUCAAAUGAAUUGACGGGGUCAUAGCUGUUUCCUG
rnacentral:rRNA from 1 species